rnacentral:pre_miRNA from 1 species
AUCACCUAGGAGUCUUGUUAAAAUGUAGAUUAUACUUCAGUGAGUCGGGGACUCUGCAUUUCUAACAAGCACCCCGGUGAUGGUGA